UUUGCACGAAAUUCAAACUGCGCAAGUGCGUCCGAGCAAAGCGAACAUAUUGGAUCUCGUUUUUGCGUUGUAUAGGAAAAAAACUGAUUUUGCAAGUGUUUUUAUCCGGUUUUUGGUUAAGAAACUGAUGUGCAGACAUAUACAAUGGUUUGAAACUAUAAACGAAAAACAGAUCGUGGCAAAUGGGACCCUGAAGUUCUGGGUCUUAUGGGUUCUUAAUAACAGGAUGGGGCUUCCUCGAGCCUCUGCUACAUAUGAUGUUCCGCCGCCGUGUAAGAAAAGCUCGUGAUACUGUGGAUGACGACACUGAUUCCGGUAACUACUAAGUAUGCAGGAAGCACGGUUAACCGGAAAAUAACUUCGUUUAAUAGCUUAUCAGUUGGCUCAGCGAAAUCAUAUAGAUAGCCCACUUAAUGAAGAAACCGACAUGGCAGGAGAAGAUUGGCGUAAAAAACGAAUACACAAAGUUGGAAAUAAGAAGAUAAAAAGAACUGAAAACAAGCAUCAAGCUAAAAGACUCGCCAAAGAAAUCGAAUCGGAAUAUAGUUCAUCUUAAUUGGAGGACGGUGACUGGGCCUGCAUCUAUUGUGGUUACUUAUACUAAGAGUCAACCGAGGGUUGAGCUAUCUGCAGUAUUUGCCAUGGUUGGGCACACGAUUCCUGUGCCGAAGUAGAUGAAGAAGACGACGAGGCACACAUUUGUGAACGCUGUCUGCCCGAUUAAAAUACGUACUCCUUUUGCCCCGUAGCAUUUCCCAUCUUACCCCGUCCAUGGGGCAAGACGGGAAAUUCGCCACAUUAUCGUUAAUCAUUAUUUGUCAAAAAACUUCUGUGAUUUUGCUUGAUAAAAUUAUUAAUUUUAAGAAACAAAUGUAUAAGUGUUACUUAUUUUCUUAAAGAAUUUAAUUAAAGAGUAUAAUUGUCUUUGUA